rnacentral:rRNA from 1 species
UACGGAGGGUGCAAGCGUUAUCCGGAUUCACUGGGUUUAAAGGGGGCGUAGGUGGGAAUGUAAGUCAGUGGUGAAAUCUCCGGGCUUAACCCGGAAACUGCCAUUGAUACUAUCGGUCCUGAAUACCGUGGAGGUGAGCGGAAUAUGUCAUGUAGCGGUGAAAUGCUUAGAUAUGACAUAGAACACCAAUUGCGAAGGCAGCUCACUACACGAAUAUUGACACUGAGGCACGAAAGCGUGGGGAGCAAACAGG